rnacentral:lncRNA from 1 species
UCGAUGAGAAAAGAGACUUGAAUAUCUGCACAAGGGCUUGAAUCCACACCUGACAUGAUCAUGAGCCAACAUCAUCAUUAAAGGUUUACUCCAGCUUGUCUACAUCUUCUCUAAAAAGAGACAUCCAGUGUUUGAGACAGUGUUCCAGAUGUGUACUGACUUGAAAUGAGUACAGAGCUGUUUAGGAAGUGAGUAAUCACAUUCUUUCUUCUGAACACUACUUCCAUUAAUGCAACCCUAAAUCCUAUUAACUUGAUCUCACUCCUGAA